GUGCUCGUUUUGCGGCACAUAUACCCAAAUCGGGACGAUACAGAGAAGACCAGCAUGGCCGCCUCACAAGAACGACACCCAAAUUCAUGAAGCGGUCUGUUUUUUC